CGCCGUCGUGCGCCUCGUGCGGUCAGUCCGCGCCGCGCCUCGUGUGUGUUCGCACGCGUCGUGUUCGGGAGCGCGCCGCGCCACGCGCUCCACGCAAGAGUUCAACCUGCGAUCGCCGAAGAGAGAGAGGAGUGGCGGUUCGCAUCUUACCGGGCAGCAUUAGAGUCGUGUCAUUUUCUAAUACUGUCAGGUAAAGAUGUCGUCCGCGCUCCACGUUCGUCGCUUCGUCGUCGCGGGACGCCCAGUGACACCACGUCGCCGCCGCGCCGCGCCGAGUUUCCUCGUGCAGGCGAAACGUGUUUCCCGCUCCGUCCGGCACCUGUGAGAGGUCGCGGUCUACGCGUGCGACGGACGCCAGCUCGCCGCUUCGCCGAGGACUCGGUAGCUCUCGAUCGCACGUCUCCGUGGAAUUAAUAGCUACGUUGCCAGGACAAAUGGUUUGCGAACUUGUUGCGAUCCAUUGUUGAGACUGACUGGGCGCGUGCGUCGUGCUCUUGCGCUGCGACAUCGUGCGCCAUCGCGACGCCGAUGUGUUCUCUGUUGCGACGACGCGCAGUGUUCGUCCGCCGCUCGUCCGCCGCCGUCCGUCGUCCGCGCACAUCUGUACACUGUCGCUGUCGCUAGGUGCUGCAACUGCACCUGCUGUGUGUGAGACUCGUUUGUCUGAUUUCCUACCUAUAUAUUGUGUGUACUGUUCAUUAAUCAUUUUGUUGGUUGUGUAUAAAGUUCUCAAUAAAUGAGUUUGUUACAUAAUA
rnacentral:lncRNA from 1 species